rnacentral:lncRNA from 1 species
CAGCAGUUGAGCUUGCGCACGCUGUGCAGCUCCGAGGCCUUGGCCCGGGUCAGAACCAUCUUCCGCGUCAGCUUCAUGGCGGCCGCCCAGGCCCGACCGGCGGGCGCCCCCGGCCUCCUGAUCCCGGGCGGGUGACGACUGCGCGGCGCGUGUCUCCAGGGGCGGGGCCCGCGUCGUCAGGGGCGGAUCCUGAGCCCAUUGGCGGCUCGGUUUCUUGCACAUCUGACACGGAUGGAUCCAGCUAGAUGUCUUGCCAACAGCUCCUGUGGCCCCACCCAGAAGCCAUGCAGCACAAAAGGACCAAAAGGACAGCUAGAUUUCAUCUCGCACCUAACCAAUCAGCACUCCCCAUGCUCUAGCCCCCUGUUCACCAAACUACCUUUAAACAACCCCUAACCUAUGAGCCUUCAAUUGUAACCGAGCAGCUUAGCAGCUGUGAAUCCAAAAUAUCUGAGACAGGACUCAAUCUGUUUAGAAAGUUUAUUUUGUCAAGGUUAAGGACAAGCCCAUGACACAGCCUCAGGAGGUCCUGACGACACGUGCCCUGGGUGGCUGGGGCACAGCUUGCUUUCAUACAUUUUUAGGGAGACAUGAGACAUCAAUCAAUAUGUGUAAGAUGGAAAAAGAGGAAAAAAUAUAUGUAUAAGAUGUACAUUAAGCCGGGCGCAG